rnacentral:ribozyme from 1 species
UGCCCAGCAACUCCUAUCCCUAUCUCCGCGUGGCACCGGCAGGACUGCGAGCGACCUUAGGGAAGAUCGGGUAACCCCGGUGGGAACUUUGGUCGUAUGCUGACAGGGAAGG